UACAGAGGGUGCAAGCGUUAAUCGGAAUUACUGGGCGUAAAGGGUGCGUAGGUGGUUAUAUAAGUUAGGUGUGAAAGUCCUGGGCUUAACCUGGGGAUUGCGCCUGAUACUGUGUAGCUAGAGUCCUGUAGAGGAAAGUGGAAUUUCCGGUGUAGCGGUGAAAUGCGUAGAUAUCGGAAGGAACAUCGGUGGCGAAGGCGACUUUCUGGACAGAGACUGACACUGAGGCACGAAAGCAUGGGGAGCAAACAGG
rnacentral:rRNA from 1 species